AACGAACGCUGGCGGCAGGCCUAACACAUGCAAGUCGAACGCCCUAGUAAUAGGGAGUGGCAGACGGGUGAGUAACACGUGGGAACCUUCCCUAUAGUACGGAAUAGCCCAGGGAAACUUGGAGUAAUACCGUAUAAGCCCGAGAGGGGAAAGAUUUAUCGCUAUAGGAUGGGCCCGCGUAGGAUUAGCUAGUUGGUGAGGUAACGGCUCACCAAGGCAACGAUCCUUAGCUGGUUGAGAGAAUGACCAGCCACACUGGGACUGAGACACGGCCCAGACUCCUACGGGAGGCAGCAGUGGGGAAUCUUGGACAAUGGGCGCAAGCCUGAUCCAGCCAUGCCGCGUGAGUGAUGAAGGCCUUAGGGUUGUAAAGCUCU
rnacentral:rRNA from 1 species